GAUGAACGCUGGCGGCGUGCUUAACACAUGCAAGUCGAACGGAAAGGCCCUGCUCGCAGGGCGCUCGAGUGGCGAACGGGUGAGUAACUGGCGGGUGGUCUGCCCCUCACUCUGGGAUAAGCCUCUGAAACCGGGUCUAAUACUGGACAGGACCAUGCUGUAGCCGGAGUGGUGGAUAGAUUAGUUUCGGUUAGGGAUGAGCUCGCGGCCUAUCAGCUUGUUGGUGGGGUAAUGGCCUACAAAGGCGUCGCCGGGUAUCCGGCCUGGGUGGGCGGGCGGCCCCAUUGAGACUGGGAUGGGGCCCAGACUCCGACGGUAGGCAGCAGUGGGGGAUAUUGCACAAUGGGAACGGGCCUGAGGCAGCGACGGCACGUGGGGGUUGAGGGCCUUCGGGUUGUGAACGCCAAUCGGCCAUGACGGAGCACAUGUGGUGACGGUAGUGGUAGAAGAAGCACCGGCUAACUACGUG
rnacentral:rRNA from 1 species